AAUUUGAUUUGUUGGAACACACUUCGAAGCUUGGGAUCUGAAAUAUCUGAUUCUGACUGUAUACUGUAGUCAAAGAUGGGCAGUGAAAGUGAUAAAGGUAGAGAAGCAAUUGUUGAAGAAGAAGAAGAAGAGAUAGUCUGCUUGGAGUCUUUCUUCAUCAACGAUGAGUAAUUUUGUUACACAAACAAAUUUAUCAGUUGACGAAGUUUACGUUUGGUUCUCAUGUUCUUGAGCUCUACUGUCUCCAAUCAGCUUCAAGU